UAUCGAAACGAAGCAGCUGCGUCAAGCAGCUGCUGUAAAGGGGGAUGAGGGGCGGCGGACGCGUAGGCUGGAGGCGUGGGAUGGAUGAGUGGAUUGUUAGAGGGUAUGGAAGCGUAUUAGGGCCUGGAUUAGGUUUUAAAAAGGAAGAAAAACGAAGAAGAGUGAUUAGCGAAAAACCCAGAAAACAGAGGAGGAAAUUUUUGAGAAUUCGAGUUUUGGUUGCUUAAAAUUGGACAUCAAUCGAGGGUAAAGGAAGAGGGGUUGUUGCUGAGGAAUCAUUGAGGAAGGGGAUACGGCCACGAGCUGAAUCGGACGGUGAUUCGAAGAAAACGCAAGGAAGAAGAAGGAGCGCGUGCACUACACGCAGGCGCGUGAGGGGCCGCGACUGGGUGUGCGACUGGGCGUGCUCCUGGCGCGUGGGACAGACACACCGAGGAUGUGAGGGCGCGUGAGGGCGCGUGAAGCAUCAUUUUGGGUUCCCGGUCUAAUCGGAAGGAAUUGUGUUGAAAUACCCUAUUAAAUGUACAAUCAAGAGAGAAAGGGAUUCGAAACCAGGUAAGUAGCGUAUCGACCUUUGAACUAGUUCUUAACUUGUUUUACAACAUGUGAGUAUGUUGUUUACCUGAUUAAGAGCUUAAUAUGUUAUGAUGAGCUUUGAUGAUAUUGAGUGUUUAUUGUAUAUUGUGACUGCUUGCCUGUGAUGUAAGCAUGAUAUAAAUGAUUGUCAGAAUGUUCUAUGUGUUGAACAUGAUACAUGUAUGAAAGCAUGCAGUAACUGUGAGUAUGUUAUGCAUGUUAAUGGAAAGGUUAUGACUCUAGAUAUGCUUAUUGGUUGUUGAGCUAUGGCUUAUUUAUAUGAGUAUGAUAGUCUACUAAUUCCCGCGGAGUUCCUGGCCAACGCGCUGUGUGCUAAGUCAGGGAGCAUGAGUACUCCUGACCGUUGGUAUAUGAGAUAAACAGGCCGCCAGAGCAAUUAGUAGACGGGCCGUAUUUGACCGAGAGCGAGUCUUACAUACGAGUCCGAAAAUUCUAGAUAAGCAUAUCGAAGGAGAGUCAGUAACCUAGCUGGAGGUAGCUGAGAUACCUCAUUAACGAACAGAUGACCCUAACAAGAGAACUAGGAGUCAGUGAUGAAUAAAG